GUAAGGGAUAUUGCUCAAUGGGCGAAAGCCUGAAGCAGCAACGCCGCGUGGAGGAUGACGGCUUUCGGGUUGUAAACUCCUUUUGUACCGGACGAGGAAGGACGGUACGGUACGAAUAAGUCACGGCUAACUACGUGCCAGCAGCCGCGGUAAAACGUAGGUGACGAGCGUUAUCCGGAUUUACUGGGCGUAAAGCGUGUGCAGGCGGGAUGGUAAGUGGUGUAUGAAAGCUCCGGGCUCAACUCGGAGAGGUUAUGCCAGACUGCCAACCUAGAGGUAGCAAGAGGGACAUGGAAUUCCGGGUGUAGUGGUGAAAUGCGUAGAGAUCCGGAGGAACUCCAGAGGCGAAGGCGGUGUCCUGGUGCUGACCUGACGCUCAGACACGAAAGCAUGGGGAGCGAACGGGAUUAGAUACCCCAGUAGUCC
rnacentral:rRNA from 1 species